rnacentral:rRNA from 1 species
GCUCAGGAUGAACGCUAGCUACAGGCUUAACACAUGCAAGUCGAGGGGCAGCGGGAUUGAAGCUUGCUUCAAUUGCCGGCGACCGGCGCACGGGUGAGUAACGCGUAUCCAACCUUCCGUACACUCAGGGAUAGCCUUUCGAAAGAAAGAUUAAUACCUGAUGGUAUGAUGAGAUUGCAUGAUAGCAUCAUUAAAGAUUUAUCGGUGUACGAUGGGGAUGCGUUCCAUUAGGUAGUAGGCGGGGUAACGGCCCACCUAGCCAACGAUGGAUAGGGGUUCUGAGAGGAAGGUCCCCCACAUUGGAACUGAGACACGGUCCAAACUCCUACGGGAGGCAGCAGUGAGGAAUAUUGGUCAAUGGACGAGAGUCUGAACCAGCCAAGUAGCGUGAAGGAUGAAGGUCCUACGGAUUGUAAACUUCUUUUAUAAGGGAAUAAACCCUCCCACGUGUGGGAGCUUGUAUGUACCUUAUGAAUAAGCAUCGGCUAACUCCGUGCCAGCAGCCGCGGUAAUACGGAGGAUGCGAGCGUUAUCCGGAUUUAUUGGGUUUAAAGGGAGCGCAGACGGGUCGUUAAGUCAGCUGUGAAAGUUUGGGGCUCAACCUUAAAAUUGCAGUUGAUACUGGCGUCCUUGAGUGCGGUUGAGGUGUGCGGAAUUCGUGGUGUAGCGGUGAAAUGCUUAGAUAUCACGAAGAACUCCGAUUGCGAAGGCAGCACACUAAUCCGUAACUGACGUUCAUGCUCGAAAGUGUGGGUAUCAAACAGGAUUAGAUACCCUGGUAGUCCACACGGUAAACGAUGGAUACUCGCUGUUGGCGAUAUACUGUCAGCGGCUUAGCG